GACGAACGCUGGCGGCGUGCUUCAUACAUGCCAGUCGAACGAGAAGCUGACUUCGGUCAGUGGAAAGUGGCGGACGGGUGAGUAAUAUGUAGGAAAUCUGCCUUUAGGAGGGGGACAACAGAGGGAAACUUCUGCUAAUACCCCAUAUGAGCGUAGCUGAAAUGCUAUUCUUGAAAACUCCGGUGCCUAAAGAUGAGCCUGCAUCUGAUUAGCUAGUUGGUGGUGUAAUGGACUACCAAGGCGACGAUCAGUAGCUGGUUUGAGAGGAUGAUCAGCCACAAUGGGAGUGAGGCAGGGCCCAGAAUCAGACGGGGGGAAGCAGUGGGGAAUUUGGGAGAAUGGGCGCAACGCUGAUCCAGCAAUGCCGCGUGCGGGAAGAAGGCCUGCGGGUUGGAAACAGGUUUUGUGCGGGAAGAAAGCCUCUGGGCUAAUACCGCGGGGGGAUGACGGUACCGGAAGAAUAAGCACCGGCUAACUACGUG
rnacentral:rRNA from 1 species